UACGUAGGGUGCAGGCGUUAAUCGGAAUUACUGGGCGUAAAGCGUGCGUAGGCGGUUUGUUAAGACAGGUGUGAAAUCCCCGGGCUUAACCUGGGAACUGCGCUUGUUACUGGCAGACUGGAGUGUGGCGAGAGGGGGGUGGAAUUCCACGUGUAGCAGGUGAAAUUCGUAGAUAUGGGGAGGAACACCGGUGGCGAAGGCGGCCAUCUGGACGGCUAUUGACGCUGAGACGGCGAAAGCAUGGGGAGCAAACAGG
rnacentral:rRNA from 1 species